rnacentral:tRNA from 1 species
GUUGUGGCUCAGCGGUAGAGCACUCGCCUAGCAUAUGCGAAGCCCUGGGUUCGAUUCUCAGCAUGACA